AAAUUAGUACAUGUAGAAAAGUUUCCUGGAAAGAAGCUCAAACAAUGAGCUCUAAGGAAUUGCGGAUAAAAUACUGGCUUCUCAGCUUGGGUUCUGGCUCUAGCCCUAUUGUCAACAAGCCACCGUGGGAGAAUAUGAAGUGAGAUCAUCAGCUAAGAGUUGAGGUUCCACAGAUGCUACUGGGGGAGAUGAAGAAGAUAUUUCUCUUAUUGCAAGAAAUGAGAAAAAUUUACUAGCAAAAUAUGAUAUGUGAUACCCCUUCCAAUUCUAGAAUUCAAUACACUUAUCUCAUUUUUCAAAGAAUUCCACAAACACUAAAUCAUAUAAAAGAUUAAACAAAGGGAGAUAACAGUUGCAGACAACUAGGAAACACUUUACGAUAGAGUGAAGAUUUGUCAGUUAAUAAAUAUGUGACCUUGGAUAAUUCA
ensembl:lncRNA novel transcript